rnacentral:misc_RNA from 1 species
CGUAGGUGAACCUGCGAAAGGAUCAUUGUCGGUGACCGUAAAAACACGAUCGGAGCACAUGUGAUAGAGCACUACUGGAGCAACGGCGCCGCACUAGCCAACUGACCACUGUCCUCAUGCCGUCUGGUGCGUUGGCCUCGGGCUGAUCACGGCGUGGGAUGACGCCAAGUAACAAGUAAUGCGGAGGCGGCGACGGCGGCUCCUUGGAGCGUGCCGCUUGCUACCGGUGGAAGAAAUCAAAAUGACUCUCGACAACGGAUAUCUCGGCUCUCGCAUCGAUGAAGAACGUAGCGAAAUACGAUACGUGGUGUGAAUUGCAGAAUCCCGCGAACCAUCGAGUUUUUGAACGCAAGUUGCGCCCGAGGGUCCUGCCCGAGGGCACGCCUGCCUCAUGGGCGUAACAAGCCCAUCCACGCUCGGGUGUCCCGGCCUUGACGGGCCAGGACGGACGCGGAUGAUGGCCCUCCGAGCCAGAGCGCACGGCGGGCCGAAGCGUGCGUUUGUCGGAUGCGGUCGGAGCGGCGAGUGGUGGGAUCCUGCGCACGCCGCCUCGCGCCAUUCUCCGGCGUCGGGCGCUUAGCUUCGACCCUGUACGAGGAGCCCGUCGUCGGCGCGUCCGGCUUCGGGGAACCCUCGGACCAAUACCCCAGGUCAGGCGGGGCUACCCGCCGAGUUUAAGCAUA